GACGAACGCUGGCGGCGUGCUUAACACAUGCAAGUCGAACGGAAAGGCCCUGCUUUUGUGGGGUGCUCGAGUGGCGAACGGGUGAGUAACACGUGAGUAACCUGUCCUUGACUUUGGGAUAACUUCAGGAAACUGGGGCUAAUACCGGAUAGAAGCUCCUGAUGCAUGGUGGGGGUUGGAAAGUUUCGGCGGUUGGGGAUGGACUGGCGGCUUAUGAGCUAGUUGGUGGGGUAGGGGCUUACCAAGGCUUUGACGGGUACCCGGCAUGAGAGGGUUGCCGGCCACCUUGGGACUGAGGUACGCCCCAGACUCCUACGGGACGCAGAAGGGGGGAAUCUUGCACAAUGGGCGGAAGCCUGAUGCAGCAACGCCGCGUGCGGGAUGACGGCCUUCGGGUUGUAAACCGCUGUCGACUGUGACGAAGAGUGAGUGACGGUAAUGGGUAAAGAAGCCCCGGCUAACUACGUG
rnacentral:rRNA from 1 species